GUGCAGAGGCAAAAACAAAAACGCAGCCCCAUUUUUUUCAGUUUGUUUUUCGGCCAUUUUGCUCCAUCGGAUUGGCAUAAUACAAGGCCAUCUGGCCUUCAUCCGGCAACUCAAGGUUGAGAAACAAAAAGCCAUCCAAUGGCUUGGAAUUCAGCAAAAAGAAAAACGCAGCAGGUGAACCAUAGAUGCUAGGUUUUGUGAGAGGUUUCGGGUGCCUAUAAAGAGCCAUGAAGUGAGAGAGUUUAAGGGGGAUUUUGAUGAAAAUUGGAAAAACAGAAAUCAGAAGGGAGAGUGACGGCGGGAGAGAAUCUGCGGGAAAAAGAGAGCUGGAGAAAACCAUAGGAGAGGGAGAGCUUCGGGUGAGGUAAAAACGACAGAGAGAAGGUGGAGGCUGCAAGAAAGAGAGAGAGAGAGGCUCGUUGGUGGCUGUGGGUAGUGAAAAAAGAGAAGGCUACUGGGGUUUCUGGAAAAGAAAUGGGCGGCGGAGUUUGAGAGAAACCAAGAGAGCCGAGGGUUUGGGAUAGAAAGGGAGAGUUUUUGCAGAGAGCAGAAGGAAAACUUCAACAAGGAAGCAGUGAAAGAUCUGGACAAGGCCUGAGUAGGAGAAAGGAGAUCGCAAAGAAGGUUGCACAAAGGGGACUGGAUCAUCAUCACCAUCCUUCACUGGUGGUCCUUCGAAGAACUGGCAGAACCAGCCGAGCCUUUUCUUGUCAUCCCACGACUCAUUUUACGAUUCAGGGAACCUUGGAAAACCUGGUAGAAGGCUUCGACAGAGAGAGGGGAGAGAAAGAGAGUGGCGGCCGAAACAAAUGCAGCAGAAGAACCCUUACACGAUCUUCACCAGAAAUUCGCAACUUUGGAAUCUGCAUCCGGACGCAAUCUUGUCAACCAACUCCCUGUUCAGAAGACUCCGCAAGACGUCAAAGGUAAUCUCUUUUGCCUUCUACUUCUCAUACAAGCCUAGAUCUCCUCUAAAUAUGCCAAAAAUCUUGUUGUGUUCUGUUUAUGAACAUGCUUUGCUGUUUUGCUUCCUAUGGCAGCCGAAUGGGUUGAGUUUCGUUCUUUUUUGAAAAUCUGUUGUUAAAUCUUGUCCUGAGGAAAUGAAACCUGAUAGUCAAUGUUGGGUUGGAAAAGUUUUGCUCCAAAAGUUACGCAUUUGUAUCUGAUGUGUUGCGGGUUGAAUGGAAACCCAGAAAGUUGCAGCAGAACGAAGAAGUAGAAAGCUUUUUUUUUUUUUCGUAUCAGAUUGUGUGAUCCUGGUGUUCAAAUAUAAAGGUUUUAUGUUGAAUAUAGGAGGAAUGUUUGAUAUUCCUGUUGCUUGGAUUCAGUUUGCAUUGCGCUUAAAUUUGCGCAUACAAAUCUGCUGCAACAAGCCACUCUUGAAGUUCUCGGCCUGUUGCAGCAGCAUGGACAGAUCCUGUUUCUUUCCUUUGUUUGUUAAGGUCUUGGAUUGUUUGAAGUUUGGGAGUUCUGUAGUGUUCGGUUUGGUAUUCGGUGUGCAUAUUUGCCAUGAGUUUUUCUCCUUGCGUCUUUGUUGCAUAUUUCCAUUCAGUCACAUGUUGGAGCAUGGAGUUGCUAAUGCUUGUAGUUUCGUUGCUGAUGCUUGUAGUCUACUGCAUCUCUUGCUGUUGUAUGUGUUUUGUUCAUCCCUAUUGCCUUUCUCUUGCAUGUUUAUCAAGUUUUUUUUUGGAUGAUAAGCUUAUAUAGAACUUGGGAUGGUUUCUGGUUUGAGGUCAUUGUAUUAAAAUUUGCCGUAUGAAAUUGCUGAAAUCUCAAAGUAGCAGAAAGAAAACCCAUGAACUGUCCAGAUUUGCAUGCCUUUUUGUCUGACUUUUGCUGUUUAAAUCUAAAGUUUUAUGUUGCAAAGUGAGAGGAUUAGGUGGUUGUCUUGUUGCUUUAGUUCAUAUUGAAUUUGAGUGUGUUUAAGAGCUGCGGAGAGCUUGUGGAUACAAUUGCAGAAGGAGAGUCUUAUAGCUUGAGUUGCAGAAAUAAGAACAAAGAAAGCGUCGUAGCAUGCAUGAAAAAAACUUUCCAAAAUUGCAGUUUGAUCUCUCGAUUUUCUCUUCAUUUUACUAUGGCCCAGCUAAUUAGAUAAUUUCGAUCAUUUUUAUCCCUUUGACAUGCCAUUUUUCUAUAACAUAUCUUAGCAUGAUUUCUUAAAUAGAUUUUAAUGAGUCUUAGAAUAACGUUGAAGGUUUUUAAGAACGUUUUUCUAGAUUUUAGUUUUGAUUUGGAUUCUUAGUGAAAUUUUGCGUAUUUUGUGCUUUGAAUGCAACAAAUUGAUUUUCAUUUAUUGUUUUUGUGAGUUUUGUCAUUCGAUUGGGGGGUUUCACUUUAAGUCCUCGCUUGUUUAAAUUUCUUAAAUAUAGGCUGUUUACAUGAUUCGAUUGAUUCAA